CAGCCCGGAAGCGGAAGCGGAAGCCGGAAGCAGCGAGAUCGAGUUGGUUUUCCGGCCUCACCCGCUGCUGGUGGAGAAGGGGGAGUACUGCCAGACACGGUGAGCGGCCUUCGGCCUCGGCCUCCUCAUCCUUGUCCUCCUCAUCUUCCUCUCCUUCCUGCUCCUCUUCCUCUUCCUUUUCCUUUUCCUCCUCCUCAUCUUCCUCUCCGUCCUCCUCCUCUUCCUCAUCUUCAUCUUCCUUUUCCUUCUCCUUUUCCUCCUCCUCCUCAUCUUCCUCUCCUUCCUGCUCCUCUUCCUCUUCCUUCUCCUCCUCCUCCUCCUCCUCAUCUUCCUCUCCGUCCUCCUCUUCCUCAUCUUCGUCAUCCUCUUCCUCUCCAUCCUGCUCUUCUUCCUCAUCCUCAUCGUCCUCAUCUUCUUCUCCGUCCUCCUGUUCCUCUCCAUCCUCUUCUUCUUCCUCAUCCUCAUCAUCCUCCUCCUCUUCCUCUCCAUCCUCAUCAUCCUCAUCUUCCUCUUCCUCAUCCUUGUCCUCCUCAUCUUCCUCAUCCUUGUUCUCCUCAUCUUCCUCUCCAUCCUGCUCCUCUUCCUCAUCUUCAUCUUCCUUUUCCUUCUCCUUCUUCCCCUCCUCCUCAUCUUCCUCUCCGUCCUCCUCUUCCUCAUCUUCGUCAUCCUCUUCCUCUCCAUCCUGCUCUUCCUCCUCAUCCUCAUCGUCCUCCUCCUCUUCCUCUCCAUCCUCAUCUUCCUCUUCCUCAUCCUUGUCCUCCUCAUCUUCUUCUCCGUCCUCCUCUUCCUCUCCGUUCUCUUCUUCUUCCUCAUCCUCCUCUUCCUCUUCCUCUCCAUCCUCUUCUUCCUCGUCUUCCUCUUCUUCCUCAUCCUCAUCAUCUUCCUCAUCCUCAUCAUCCUCUCCAUUCUCCUCAUCUCCAUCCUCAUCUUCCUCAUUUUCCUCAUCUCUAUCCUCCUCAUCUUCAUCCUCCUCUUCCUCAUCCUCCUCAUCCUCUCCAUCCUCAUCAUCCUCAUCUUCCUCAUCCUCAUCCUCGUCCUCAUGCUCUCUACCCUCCUCAUCUUCAUCCUCGUCCUCAUCCUCAUCACUCUCUUCUUCAUCCUCAUCCUCCUAUUCCUCUUCUUCCUCAUCUUUGACCUUUUCUUCUUCAUCUUCAUCCUCAUCUUCCUCAUCUUUCUCCUCUACUUCAUCCUCAUCCUCAUCCUCUUCCUCCUCUUCCUCUCCAUCCUCAUCAUCUUCAUCCUCAUCAUCCUCAUCCUCCUCAGCCUCAUCCUUGUCCUCCUCUUCCUCAUCCUCUUCUUCCUCAUCUUCCUCUUCCUCGCCAUCCUCC
rnacentral:lncRNA from 1 species